CAGCAGCCGCGGUAAUACGAAGGGGGCUAGCGUUGCUCGGAAUGACUGGGCGUAAAGGGCGCGUAGGCGGUUUGUACAGUUGGAUGUGAAAUUCCUGGGCUUAACCUGGGGGCUGCAUUCAAUACGUGCAGGCUUGAGUGUGGAAGAGGGUCGUGGAAUUCCCAGUGUAGAGGUGAAAUUCGUAGAUAUUGGGAAGAACACCGGUGGCGAAGGCGGCGACCUGGUCCAUUACUGACGCUGAGGCGCGAAAGCGUGGGGAACAAACAGGAUUAGAUACCCGCGUAGUCCCUGUCUCUUAUAA
rnacentral:rRNA from 1 species